ensembl:lncRNA
CCGUCUGGUCUUGGUCAGUACGCGUGCUGCAGCAUUCUGUAUGUUUUACAGUACAGAGACUUUAAAACCAGUGUAAUGUGUCCUCUCCGUCUGGUCUUGGUCAGUACGCGUGCUGCAGCAUUCUGUAUGUUUUACAGUACAGAGACUUUAAAACCAGUGUAAUGUGUUCUCUCCGUCAGGUCUUGGUCAGUACGCGUGCUGCAGCAUUCUGUACGUUUUGCAGUUGACCAAUGGCUUUCUUGAGUAGACCUGACAGGAGAGCAUUACAGUAGUCAAGCCUGCUUGUAAUAAAAGCAUGGGAGAGUCUCUCUGUAUCAGCCUGAGAGAGAAACGGCCGCACCUUGGCAAUGUUCCUCAGGUGGUAAAAAGCUAUUAUGGUCACAUUCCUAACGUGUGAUUCAAAAUGAAGUUCAGAAUCUAAACUGACACUUCAGUUUUUUAACUGGUGUUUAAUUUUUUAUUGCAAGGCCAGAUUCUCUCUCCGUGUUUCGGCUCCAACAAUAAAUACCUCCGUCUUGCCUUUAUUUAGGAAGUUGUGACAUUCAUUUAGGAAGUCGAGAGUCAUCCAAGCAUUUAAAUCUUGAAUCAUUUAUCAGUGGAGCUAAAAUCCUCUGGUGACACAGAAAGGUAAAGCUGUGUAUCAUCUGCGUAGCAGUGAAAAUCAAUGCUGUGCUUUCUGAUAACGCUGCCAAGGGGUAACAUAUAUAAACUGAUCAGUACCUGACCCAAAAUCGAACCGUGUGGAAUAUCUAUAGUAUUUUCUCUGAGUUAUGUUCCCCAAGGGUGACAAAAAAACUCUGGAGCAGUUAAAUAGGUCCUAAACCAACAUAGAAUUGGCCCAGAGAGGCCAACCCACCUUUCCAAUCUGCCCAGAAGGACAUCACGGUUGAACGGUGUCAAAUAAAGCACUUAAAUCCAUGAGUACAAGGACAGAGAGCUGUUUGGCAUCUGCCUUGGCUUUAAGAUCAUUUAUCACUUUUACUAAGGCUGUCGCUGUGCUGUGGUGGCCAUGAAAACCAGAUUGCACUUAAAAAAGUACUUUUCUGUUGAAUUCAUUUAAAUCCAGAAUUUUACUUAAGAAAGGAGGGUUGGAGAUUGGCCGAAAAUUGCCAUUAACUGAACAAUCUAGAUUCCUUUUCUUCAGAAGGGGUUUCACAAUAGCAGUUUUUAGCGUAGCGGGGGAAGUGCCUGUCAACAGGGAGUGAUUAACAACAGCUUGUAAUUAACAAGUAUUUUGAAGAAGGUGGAGGGGAUAGGCAGGUAGAAGGUGGAGGGGAUAGGUAGGUAGAAGGUGGAGGGGAUAGGUAGGUAGAAGGUGGAGGGGAUAGGCAGGUAGAAGGCAGGUAGAAGGUGGAGGGGAUAGGCAGGUAGAAGGCAGGUAGAAGGUGGAGGGGAUAGGCAGGUAGAAGGUGGAGGGGAUAGGUAGGUAGAAGGCAGGUAGAAGGUGGUGGGGAUAGGCAGGUAGAAGGUGGUGGGGAUAGGCAGGUAGAAGGCAGGUAGAAGGCUUAAGUUGUGAUAUCACUUUCCUGAGCAUGUCUGUGUCAACCAGGGAAAAUAACUCCAUAGUGCCUUUGCGUGGUAGGCUAGGGAACAGAUCAUCAAACUUCUCAGCGGGUCUUGCUUGACUGAUACCCAGCCUAAUGAAGCAAGGCCCGAGGAGGUGUGGUAUAAGAACUGCCCUUAGCCGUGGUAUAUUGGCCAUAUAUCACAAACCCCCUGAUCUGCCUUAUUACUAUUAUAAACUGGUUUCCAAUGUAAUUAGAGCAGUAAAAAUAAAUGUUUUGUCAUACCUGUGGUAUGCGGUCUGAUAUACCACGGCUGUCAGCCAAUCAGCAAUCAGUGCUCGACCCACCCAGUUUAUAAUGUGUGUUAUCUUAUCUCUGAAAUAUGUCGCAAACUCAUCACAAUUAGAUGUAGAGGAAAGUUUACAUAGGUUUGCGGGGUUGGGAUUUAGGAUUCAGCAGGCCGUCAAUGGUCAAGAAGAGCACUCUUGAUUUAUUCUGGCUUUUCUAAUUGCCUUGUUAUAUAUGCCAAGUUGCUCUCUCAGAAUAUCGUAAUGGACCUGAAACUUUAGUUUCCUCACUAAUCCAUGGGGUUCUCUGUAUGGAUGUGGCCUUUUUCAUCUUUACUGGAGCUAUGGCAUCAAUGGUUGCCCUUAAUUUGCUAUUAAAGUUAUCACCUAAAUCAUCAGAAGAUGAAGGCAGAAUAGGUGAUGUUGUGUUCAUACACUCAAUAAACCUGUAGCAAGUUCAGAGGUAAGAUACCAUUUCUUAAUAAUGUGUUCAGUAUUGCCCUGUGCUAAGGGCAAUAAUGUUGUAGAAAAUACAGAGGGGUGAUCAGAUAAAACAACAUGAAUAAUAGGGAAUGUGUCAAUAGAAAGCCCCUUGGUAAUAACCAGGUCCAGAGUAUGGCCGUGGUUAUGGGGGGGAGGCCCAGUAACAUGUUAAAUAAAGUCCAUCGAGCUCAAAAGAUUCCUAAACUCAAGUGCCUUGGAGUGAGUCUCUUUGUCUACUUGAAUAUUAAAAUCGCCCAACACAAUGACUUCCUCAUAGUUCUCGAGGACAAUAGACAACACUUCAGAGAAAUCAGCAAAGCAAGUGGGGCAUUGCUUUGGUGGCCUAUACAGGAUUAUAGCCAGCACUGGUGGCUGACAUUUAAACAGUAUAGUAUGACACUCAAAAGAUCCAAAAUCGUCAAACGAAAUGUCCUUA